rnacentral:rRNA from 1 species
AAACGGCCGCGUUAGCGUGAGCGUGCUAAGGUAGCGCAAUAAAUAGCCUUUUAAUUGGAGGCCAGUCAAUGGCAAAACUAGGGAUAUCUGUACCUUACAUAAUAAAAAAACUUUUCAUUUGAGUGAAAAGACUUAAAUAACAAAGGAAGACGAAAAGACCCCGCGGAACUUUACCUUUUCUAGUUACUCACAUGCUUAAAAACAUAACAAACAUAAGGUUUGAUUGGGGCAAUCUCGGAACCAACCAAACUUCCGAUUAACAGCACAAAAGCAUAGAAAGCUCAAUAAGAACCAAAAAGAAGUUACCCCGGGGAUAACAGCGUAAUCUAACUUGAGAGUACACAUCGAAAGUUAGGUUUGCGACCUCGAUGUUGGCUUAAGG